AGGGAGAAGAGCAGCUGAGACUAUAAAUAGGCUCUUCACUACUCUGGUAAACAGUUUGCCAAGAAUCAUGAUCCUGGUGCAGAGAUGGUGCUGGGCCAGUUCCUGCCCCAUUUGAUUGGUCAGCAGGUCCUCAACUGAGGCUACCUCAGGACUCCAGGACCGCAUCCUCCUACAUCUCUAGUGUGUCUCGGUUGGCAAGGUCCAAGGGAGAUCCAGCCCAGAAGGAAAACGGACAGCCUCCCUGGAUUUCUCUUGAAGUGC
rnacentral:lncRNA from 1 species